AUUGAACGCUGGCGGCAGGCCUAACACAUGCAAGUCGUACGAGUGGCGGACGGGUGAGUAAUGUCUGGGAAACUGCCUGAUGGAUGGGGAUAACUACUGGAAAAGGUAGCUAAUACCUCAUACCAACGGAUGUGCCCAGAUGGGAUUAGCUAGUAGGUGGGGUAACGGCUCACCUAGGCGACGAUCCCUAGCUGGUCUGAGAGGAUGACCAGCCACACGGGAACGUAGACACGGUCCAGACUCCUACGGAGGGCAUAAGUGGGGAAUAUUGCACAAUGGGCGCAAGCCUGAUGCAGCCAUGCCGCGUGGAUGAAGAAGGCCUGCGGGGUGUAAAGUACUUUCAGCGGGGAGGCGUUACCCGCAGAAGAAGCACCGGCUAACUCCGUGCCAGCAGCCGCGGUAAUUC
rnacentral:rRNA from 1 species